AUGGGUAUAGUGAACAAAGAGCAAAGUCCCAGCCUUCCAAGCAAGCGGAAUGAGGGUUUCCAGCGGCUGCAUCAUCCCGAGCUGCUCAUUGCUGCGGCGCAUGGCGACUCCGAUGAAAUAAAGCGCCUUCUUCUUCUUGACAAUCACAGGGAAGAAGAAGAUGCAGCGCGUCAAGUUAUCCUCAAUGUCGUCGAGGAUACCAUCACCGACAAGCGAGCUGCAACGCCCCCGUCAGAAGCAGCCACCGGUGCAGGGGACUCCAUCCUCCAUGUAGUAGCGUCCAGUGGAGAUGGAUAUGAAUUCUUGGAGUGUGCAACGGUGAUGGUUGGCAAGGCCAAUCACCUCCUCAGCGCCCCUAACUGGAAGGGCGACACCCCCCUGCAUUGUGCCGCCCGGCUCAGGAAUGCUAGGAUGGUCUCUCAUCUCUUGGCUCUGGCAAGAGCCAGUGAAAGUGACGAUGAGAGGGUGAAGGCGAUCCUAAGAGUGCAAAAUGGGGAGGGAGAGACGCUAGCUCGUGUUCCGCUGACCGCUAGUGCCUCGCCCCUCUACUUGGCCCUCUCGCUGUGUCACAGGGACAUUGCAAAGCUGCUCUUUGAGAAAGACGACGAGCUGUCUUACUCUGGACCGGACGGCCAAAAUGCCUUCCACGCAGCUAUACAAUGGGAAUGGGGCCAAGAGUUCGAGCUCGCCGGAAAUACAAGGGGCUGUUCGUGCGGCCGGAGGCGUUUGUGCGCCGGGAAAUCUCGUGUCCUCUCCCUCUCUCUUGUUUCUUUUUUAUCUCCGGUGAUCGCCGUGGUUCAGCGUGGCGGCGGUGGCGGCAUUCGCCGGCGGCUGCACGGUGAAGCUCCAGGCCGUGUGUCGGUCUAUGGAGGUGCGCGGCGCGGUGAGGAGGCCGCGGAGGCCGCGGGGGACGCGGCCGACAUGGAGGCAUCGGCUGCGGCGCGCGGCGAGCGCGUGGCGGAGGCGGCGGGCGGUGACGUCGUUAGUUGGUGGCAUAGCCGGCCGCGUCGUGUAGAUCGUGAAGUCAAGUUCGAGCUCGCCGGAAAUACAAGGGGCUGUUCGUGCGGCCGGAGGCGUUUGUGCGCCGGGAAAUCUCGUGUCCUCUCCCUCUCUCUUGUUUCUUUUUUAUCUCCGGUGAUCGCCGUGGUUCAGUGA
rnacentral:rRNA from 1 species